UUGGGAGAGACACCACUUGGCCUGCAGAGCUGAAAAUAGUUACUACCUGGCCCUUUAAGAAGAAUCAGCCACCCCUGGUCUAGGAGCUGGGGUGAUGUCGUGAGGGCCUGAUUCCGACUGCAUUUCCCAGGGGAGACCCUUGACGGGCUGGCCGGGCUCUGUACCCUGGAGUGGAAGAGUGACGUGGCCUCUAGCUGCUGUUCCUCUCCAGGAAGGUUCUGCAGGUGGAAUAAUGAAUUCCUGGAACACACUUGGCACAGAGCUCGAAGCACAAAAGGUGGCCCAUUGAUAGCAGCCAGGGCUCGCCAUCUUCCCAGGUGCUCUGCAGUACACGUGCUUGCCUUGGCCUACAACACUCCGAGACAAGAACAGACAGGCGCUGCAUGCUACGGGGCAGCAGCAGGUGAGCUCGGGUGUGCACACGGGCACGUGGCUGGGCCACCUGCUCUGGUACUUGCUCCCUGUUCUGUGCUGCUGGCCACACGUGAGCCUGCAGAACAUUCCACGCAGUAGCCAAGGUCAAACGGCUGUGUGAAGCUGGGCUUUUGGUCUCUUCCUACCAUCUCCUGCACCGGCUCUCUGUGCCCUUCUCCAUGAGCAGCCUGGGCAGUGUUUUCUGCUCUCUAAGGUGCUGGAACACCAGAAGGCUCCUGUGGCGGUCUGGGGUGGGUAAUGACCCCAAAAAGUGAAGCAACACUUAUUCUUCGGAACUUUUCUCCUCCCUGCCUCCACCCCCCAGAGAAGGCUUGCCCAGGACAUGAUGGCUGGCUCUGCCUGCUGCAUUUUGCAAGAGGAGGGCUCCUCACACAAUAGGGUCUACUGGGAAAACGACAAGGAUCUGGAGGCACGUCCCAGCUGUGCUGGGGGCUCUGAGAAGAGACCUGGCAAGUUCAGGGAUGAUUUUUGAGGGGGACCUGAUCGCUCACACCCCCAACCCAACCAUUUGAAGUCUGCACUCUCAGAGACAACUGCCAGAAAGCUUUGAAACAAGUUUAAAUCGUGCUGCUUUUGCUGAAGCAGGAUUUUGACAUCUCAUUUUUGCUUUCUGGUCAUGACAGACCAGGAACGAAUGUGCACAAGGAUGGACCUUUGCAUGACCCCGACCUCUGGCCUGGUUUGAAAGUGAGGGCGGGUGAAGAGCGUCUUUGUAUGGCUGCUUUGCAGGCUUGUCUCUGAUCUGUCAGAGGCGGGACGUGGAGGAGGAGGCCUUGUGGGAGCGUGGCGUGCAGAAGACGGGAAGCAUGCUGCCAUCUGGGUCACACACCUGUGCUCGGGAUUGAACUGCCUGCCCAGAGACAGAUGGUGCCCUGUACCCAGCAGGACAAGAAGCUGGGACAAGAAGCGAGGAAAGCAGAGUUUGGCCCUGACGUGAUGAAGUCUGACUCUCUAGGGGACAUCCAGGGCCACCACCAACUGGCACCAACUGGUGCCAGACUCAGGCACGAGCAGGACAGUGACAUCCUUGCGGCAGGACUCCAGUCUGCCGGGAAAGCAAGACCCUGAGCCACCCACCCGGCCCAGUGGCCUUCCAGGCACCGAGCAUCGGCUCUCUCCACUCACCGUCAGCAGUUGCUUGAGGAAGAGGUGGGGAAGAGCCUGCUUAAUGGGUACAGGGUGUUAUCUGAGGGAAAUUAAAAUGUUUUGGAACUAGUAGAGGUGAUGGUUAGCACAAGACUAUAAAUAUAAUA